UACGGGGGGGGCAAGCGUUGUUCGGAAUUACUGGGCGUAAAGGGCUCGUAGGCGGCCAACUAAGUCGGAUGUGAAAUCCCCCGGCUCAACUGGGGAACUGCACAGGAAACUAGCGGGCUUGAGUUCGGGAGAGGGAAGCGGAAUUCCGGGUGUAGCGGUGAAAUUCGUAGAUAUUGGGAAGAACACCGGUGGCGAAGGCGGCUAUCUGGACCGACAUUGACGCUGAGGCGCGAAAGCGUGGGGAGCAAACAGG
rnacentral:rRNA from 1 species